CCAAACAUGGGAAAAAUCCUUUAUAGAAAAUCUACUAAGCUUGAUAGCUCUUACCCGAAUUAAUCGUGAUUAUGGAACAAAAAUGAUUUCCUCUCCAGUCAAAAGAAUUAAAUAAAAUAAAAAUAUUAAUUUAAGUUAAAUUUUUCCCGAGGUUUAUUAGGUGCCAGCAACCGCGGUCAAACCUAAUCGCAGGUAAGUAACAACUAAAAAAAUAAAAUUUUCUUUUUAAAAAAAUUAAAGAAGUAAAAUUCUUAAUUUUUAUUUCCUAAUAAGAUAAAUAAUUCUCCUAUAAAACUUGGAAAGAAACUAGGAUUAGAGACCCUAUUAUUCAAGAGUUAAAAAAAUCUUUUUAGAGCAGUAAAAUUAAGCCUAAUUGAAACUCAAAAGCUAUGGCGGCUAUUAAGCUUUUAGGGGAACUUACCUGUUAAUUUGACAAUCACCAUGAUACCUUUCCUUUCUUUUGUUGUUUACAUACCGUCGUCAUAAAAUAAUUAAAAAUUAUUUUUAACUCUUAAUUUUAAGAAAAGGUCAGAUCAAGGCGUAGCUAAUAUAAAGGUCCCGGCGAGUUACAAUAAAAAAUUUUUUCGGUUUUCUUUUGAAAAAAGAAAUUAAGUUGGACUUAAUAGUAAUUAAAUAAAUUAUAUUUAAUUUUUGAACUACCAUCUUGAUAGUGC
rnacentral:rRNA from 1 species